UUCUACUUGUAAUUUUUUAAAUAAAAUGUUAAACUAUACAUAAACGCUCAUCAAUGAUGUCUUUGGGCCCACGUACACAAAGGUUUAUUGGAAGACCAAAGAAGGGUACAUUUGCAUGCUUAAAUUGCGUAUGCUGUACAUCUAUUAUUAAAGGAGACAAUAUCAACCACCCAUGUGAUGGGACCCCCAUACGUCUACGACACUAUGCCACAUGCGACACCUGUAAUGUGGUGUACUUGCUUAAAUGCCCAUGUGGGAUGGCAUAUGUAGGCCAGACAGGGAGACAAGUCAAAUCAAGAAUAAAAGAACAUAGAGGCUAUAUUAGGAACUUUAAAAAGGAUACUUAUUCGGACACAGCAGUUUCUAGGCAUUUUUCAGCCAUGAGUCAUAACGUAAACCAGCUAAAAUGGUUAGUUUUGGAGGUCGUACAUAACCCCCCAAGAGGUGGGGAUUUGAAACUGCGAUUGUCUCAAAGAGAGAUGUAUUGGAUUAGAAAGCUAAACACCGUAAACCCUAAAGGGUUAAACGAAUCGUGGAGUGUUAAAAGCUUCUUAUGAAACGUUGCUGAUACUAAUCUCUAUGUUUAUCUCUCUUCCAGAUUUUGACCCCAUAGCUACACAUUCAGAAUGUUUCAGAAUCCAGUUAUGCACUUGGUGACAGCUGAAGCGUAUCACGAAUAAAAAUUGAAUGAGAAGCACAAAGGCCCUCAGCCUGUUGAAAUUGUACCCUAUUACAUAAGGACACGUUUUACAUUGUUGCAAACUGAAGUCAUCUUCAUUCACUUUUGAAGCAUUAUCUACUUUUGAAACAUUGUUCUUCUUUUCCCCCCACCUGUUUACCACUUGGAGGAUGGGCUUAAUGCUUUGAUGUCAUUUCCUGUUAAACACUAUAUUAUACAUUGUUUCACAUCCUUUGUAUACACUUGACAAAGAGUCCAUUGAGACUCGAAACAUGUUGUGUUGAACAAUAAACACCUAAUUGAGCAGUUAA